rnacentral:lncRNA from 1 species
AUUUGGGAAUAAUGACUGGAUGAGCGAUACUUCUUCCAUUUCUCCUUCCAGGCGUCUUCAAGAGCUGAGGAUCUGCUAUCAGGGCCGCUCAGAAGGAGAGAGAUGAAGCAAGGCAAGACCCCAUCAGAAGAGUUAGGAAAGGACUCACAGAACUGAAGGGGAUUGCAACCCCAUAGGAAGAACAAAUCAACCCACUGGACCACAAAGAGCAUCCAGGGUCUAAUCCACCUACCAAAGAGUAUGCAUGGAGAGAUGCAUGGCCCCAGCUCUAUAUGUAGCAGAGGAUGGCUUCAUCUGGCAUCAGUGGGAGAGGAGGCCCUUGGUCCUGUGGAGGCUUGAUGCCCCACUGUAGUCUGAUACCAGAGCAGUGUGAAU